ACCCAUCUGACGGGUCGCAAAUAGGAUGAAACGCGCAUCGUGGAU
rnacentral:hammerhead_ribozyme from 1 species